rnacentral:rRNA from 1 species
GAUGAACGCUGGCGGCGUGCCUAAUACAUGCAAGUCGAGCGAACGGACGAGAAGCUUGCUUCUCUGAUGUUAGCGGCGGACGGGUGAGUAACACGUGGAUAACCUACCUAUAAGACUGGGAUAACUUCGGGAAACCGGAGCUAAUACCGGAUAAUAUUUUGAACCGCAUGGUUCAAAAGUGAAAGACGGUCUUGCUGUCACUUAUAGAUGGAUCCGCGCUGCAUUAGCUAGUUGGUAAGGUAACGGCUUACCAAGGCAACGAUGCAUAGCCGACCUGAGAGGGUGAUCGGCCACACUGGAACUGAGACACGGUCCAGACUCCUACGGGAGGCAGCAGUAGGGAAUCUUCCGCAAUGGGCGAAAGCCUGACGGAGCAACGCCGCGUGAGUGAUGAAGGUCUUCGGAUCGUAAAACUCUGUUAUUAGGGAAGAACAUAUGUGUAAGUAACUGUGCACAUCUUGACGGUACCUAAUCAGAAAGCCACGGCUAACUACGUGCCAGCAGCCGCGGUAAUACGUAGGUGGCAAGCGUUAUCCGGAAUUAUUGGGCGUAAAGCGCGCGUAGGCGGUUUUUUAAGUCUGAUGUGAAAGCCCACGGCUCAACCGUGGAGGGUCAUUGGAAACUGGAAAACUUGAGUGCAGAAGAGGAAAGUGGGAUUCCAUGUGUAGCGGUGAAAUGCGCAGAGAUAUGGAGGAACACCAGUGGCGAAGGCGACUUUCUGGUCUGUAACUGACGCUGAUGUGCGAAAGCGUGGGGAUCAAACAGGAUUAGAUACCCUGGUAGUCCACGCCGUAAACGAUGAGUGCUAAGUGUUAGGGGGUUUCCGCCCCUUAGUGCUGCAGCUAACGCAUUAAGCACUCCGCCUGGGGAGUACGACCGCAAGGUUGAAACUCAAAGGAAUUGACGGGGACCCGCACAAGCGGUGGAGCAUGUGGUUUAAUUCGAAGCAACGCGAAGAACCUUACCAAAUCUUGACAUCCUUUGACAACUCUAGAGAUAGAGCUUUCCCCUUCGGGGGACAAAGUGACAGGUGGUGCAUGGUUGUCGUCAGCUCGUGUCGUGAGAUGUUGGGUUAAGUCCCGCAACGAGCGCAACCCUUAAGCUUAGUUGCCAUCAUUAAGUUGGGCACUCUAAGUUGACUGCCGGUGACAAACCGGAGGAAGGUGGGGAUGACGUCAAAUCAUCAUGCCCCUUAUGAUUUGGGCUACACACGUGCUACAAUGGACAAUACAAAGGGCAGCGAAACCGCGAGGUCAAGCAAAUCCCAUAAAGUUGUUCUCAGUUCGGAUUGUAGUCUGCAACUCGACUACAUGAAGCUGGAAUCGCUAGUAAUCGUAGAUCAGCAUGCUACGGUGAAUACGCUCCCGGGUCU